UCUCUCUAUAUGUGGUAUUUGUGGAUCCUUACCAUAAUGUCACUUACCUAUAGCUAAUGGAAUAUUUAAGUGGAGCUUAUAGGAGUGGAAAACAGCUCAUACAUAUGUUGUCUAAUCGAGCCAUGGAUCCAAAGGAACUCAGCAUAUAAUUAAAUCAAGAUGUGCAUGUGUGAUGGAGUAAAUGAUAAUGAUGGUGAGAAUGCAUAAGUGUUAAUAAAAUUUGGUUCUCAUUGCUCCUCAUAUUGCUAUCUCUCCUCUUCUUUAAUCUUUGCUUUGGGAGAACAUGGGCUAUCUUUUUUCUCUUCUUCUUCUUUUUUUCAGGUGGGUAGUAGAUACCCCUAAUUCUACUGUCGGACACUUGUCCAUUUUUUUCCUCUCGAGUGGGCAUUUUUGUACCCCUAAUUCUACUUCGGACACUUGUCCAUUUUUACCUCUCGUCUCACUCUUUUUCUUUCUUUUUCGAGGUUCCCGGGCACUUGCCCCUUUUUAUUUCCUCGUAUAUAUUUUUGCAUAACCCAUGCCUCUUCUGCAUUGAAUCUUUUUAGAGAGAGAGAAUAACAAUAUUCGGGACAGUGAGUGAUAAUAUUUUUAGCAAUUUUAAUGAUUGAUGAUGAAUGCUGUGGUAGAUGUGUGCAAGUGAAUAUCUUAAUUUAACCACAUGAAAAGCUCCUAAGGGUCUACACAGCUCGAUCAAACUCAAUGUGAAUAUAGUAAAAGAUGUUAUAGCAAGUAUGGCUGUGGUAGGUGGUUUGCAAUGCUAGGAACUCAUCAUGUGAUUUGUAAGUUUUCAAAAUAAAUCUCCAGAACUUAGUGUAGUAGGAACAAGAUAAACAGUAGCUCAACUUUAUAUCAUGCCUUUCUCUUACCUAGACUUUAGUUUUAUGCUUCCCAAAGAUAGUAAUUUUAGUUUUAGUAAUUCCUAGAAGAAUUCUAAUAUAAAAGCUAGGUACUUGUAAGUAAGCAAGCAGAGCAACUGUUCAUCAUUUCCAUCAUGCAUCUUUUUGGUCUUUUUAUUUUUUUUAGAGAUUAAACUUAGCAGAAAAAUAAAGCACACUUAUCUACACACUCUUUUUAUUUUGUUUUCAUGUUUAUUAAGUGCAGU
rnacentral:lncRNA from 1 species